UACGUCGGGACCAAGCGUUGUUCGGAUUUACUGGGCGUAAAGGGCGCGUAGGCGGCGCGGUAAGUCACUUGUGAAAUCUCUGAGCUUAACUCAGAACGGCCAAGUGAUACUGCAGUGCUAGAGUGUGGAAGGGGCAAUCGGAAUUCUUGGUGUAGCGGUGAAAUGCGUAGAUAUCGGGAGGAACACCAAUUGCGAAGGCAGCUCGCUGGGACGUCACUGACGCUGAGACGCGAAAGCGUGGGGAGCAAACAGG
rnacentral:rRNA from 1 species